rnacentral:rRNA from 1 species
UACGGAAGGCAGCAGUGGGGAAUAUUGCACAAUGGGCGCAAGCCUGAUGCAGCCAUGCCGCGUGUAUGAAGAAGGCCUUCGGGUUGUAAAGUACUUUCAGUCGUGAGGAAGGUGUUAAGGUUAAUAACCUUAGCAAUUGACGUUAGCGACAGAAGAAGCACCGGCUAACUCCGUGCCAGCAGCCGCGGUAAUACGGAGGGUGCGAGCGUUAAUCGGAAUUACUGGGCGUAAAGGGCACGCAGGCGGUUAAUUAAGUUGGAUGUGAAAUCCCCGGGCUUAACCUGGGAAUGGCAUUCAAGCUGGUUAGCUAGAGUCUUGUAGAGGGGGUAGAAUUCCAUGUGUAGCGGUGAAAUGCGUAGAGAUGUGGAGGAAUACCGGUGGCGAAGGCGGCCCCUGGACAAAGACUGACGCUCAUGUGCGAAAGCGUGGGGAGCGAAACAGGGAUUAGAUA